GAUGAACGCUGGCGGCGUGCUUAACACAUGCAAGUCGAACGAUGAAGCUGGAGCUUGCUCUGGCUGAUUAGUGGCGAACGGGUGAGUAACACGUGAGCAACCUGCCCCUGACUCUGGGAUAACAGCCCGAAACGGCUGCGAAUACCGCAUAUGCACCAUGAACCCAUGUUCUGUGGUGGGGAAGAUUGUUCGGUUGGGGAUUGGUUCGCGGCCUAUCAGCUUGUUGGUGAGGUAAUGGGGUACCAAGGGGUCGACGGGUAGCCGGCCUGAGAGGGUGAACGCCGACCAUGGGACUGAGACAGGGACCAGUCGCGUACGGGAGGCAGCAGUGGAGAAUAUUGCACAAUGGGCGAAAGCCUGAUGCAGCAGCGCCGCGUGAGGGAUGCUCGGCUUCGGGGUGUAAACAUCUGUUAGCAGGGAAGAAGCGGGAGUGACGGUACCUGCAGAAAAAGCGCCGGCUAACUACGUG
rnacentral:rRNA from 1 species